rnacentral:rRNA from 1 species
GACGAACGCUGGCGGCGUGCCUAAUACAUGCAAGUCGAGCGGACCGAACGAGGGCUUGCUCUUGUUUGGUCAGCGGCGGACGGGUGAGUAACACGUGGGCAACCUGCCCGCAAGACCGGGAUAACUCCGGGAAACCGGAGCUAAUACCGGAUAACACCGAAGACCGCAUGGUCUUCGGUUGAAAGGCGGCCUUUGGGCUGUCACUUGCGGAUGGGCCCGCGGCGCAUUAGCUAGUUGGUGAGGUAACGGCUCACCAAGGCGACGAUGCGUAGCCGGCCUGAGAGGGUGACCGGCCACACUGGGACUGGAACACGGCCCAGACUCCUACGGGAGGCAGCAGUAGGGAAUCUUCCGCAAUGGGCGAAAGCCUGACGGAGCGACGCCGCGUGAGCGAAGAAGGCCUUCGGGUCGUAAAGCUCUGUUGUGAGGGACGAAGGAGCGCCGUUCGAAGAGGGCGGCGCGGUGACGGUACCUCACGAGAAAGCCCCGGCUAACUACGUGCCAGCCGCCGCAGUAA